UCCUCUCUUAGUAUUUUUGUUGGUAACAUGUUCAUGUGACCCUGCUGAAAGGAAGGAAAGAAGCAGCAGCAAACAGGAGGAGCUGCUUUUCUGUUUAACUUGCUCACAAUAGUAAAUGACUACACACAGUAGUUUUGUGUUUUUAUUUUACAAAGGCAAAAAAGCGAGAGAAUAACACCUUUAAAACACAGAGGAGCCUGCAACAUUUAGAGUUAUGCCCACUUCAGGCUCCGUCAGCCGCUGCUCCUCUGCAUGAAGAAGAGCCAGCUGAUGUGGUUCAGGGACCUGUGUGUGACACAGAGAGACUGUAUAAAGUCUUCUGCAGUUACUCUGUGACAACAGCACUUCUUCCUGAUUGGCUGAAGGCUUCACUGUGUAGCAGAUCAGUUAUCUCUCCCAGAAACUUGCUCUUGUAUUUUAAUUUCUUAUUUAUUGUUUAUUUUCCAUUCUACUCUUAUUUCAUUCCUACAUAUGCCUUUUUUUAUAUUGUCUUACGUUGUUUUUACAUUUCUCUUGAUGCCUUUUUAUACCUUAUGUAAAGCACUUUGAAUUACCUUCUUGUUGAAAUGUACUGUACAGCUGUACACCUCCAUCUACAGCUCAUUUUACACAUGGUCACCAACACUAUAGGUUUAAUUGCCAUCUGUAAAAUGUAAUAUUUAAUUUGUUUUCGCUCUCCAGAUGAUAUGAUAGCUCCUGUGUUUUAGAGCAGGAUACUGUAGGUGUCUCUAUAUGUCAGAUCUGAACUGCUUGAUGAGCAUCACUCUGGUCAUCUCCUGCAAUGACUCUGCACCCCAUCACUGGGGCUCUUUUUUAACUAAUGACUGGCAUGCAUUAAAUAAAUAAUAUGGUUUACUAUUAAGGUUAAUGAAACUAAAAUAAGACAAGAGUUAAAGCUUGAUGAUUAUCUUUAUUGAUUCAUCAAAUGUGUAGUAAAAUGCCUUUAAAGAGAGUGUCCCUUAGCAGUCAUCUUUACCCUGCCAUCAGUGUCAUCCUGCAUCAGAACUUGUGUAUUUUAAAUAGUGUUGAUUAACAUAUUGAGA